rnacentral:rRNA from 1 species
UACGUAGGGUGCAAGCGUUAUCCGGAUUUAUUGGGCGUAAAGGGCUCGUAGGCGGUUCGUCGCGUCCGGUGUGAAAGUCCAUCGCUUAACGGUGGAUCCGCGCCGGGUACGGGCGGGCUUGAGUGCGGUAGGGGAGACUGGAAUUCCCGGUGUAACGGUGGAAUGUGUAGAUAUCACACAGAACACCGAUUGCGAAGGCAUCUCACGAAUCCGCUAUUGACGCUGAUGCACGAAAGCGUGGGUAUCAAACAGG